rnacentral:rRNA from 1 species
GAUGAACGCUGGCGGCGUGCCUAAUACAUGCAAGUCGAGCGAACAGACGAGGAGCCUGCUCCUCUGACGUUAGCGGCGGACGGGUGAGUAACACGUGGAUAACCUACCUAUAAGACUGGGAUAACUUCGGGAAACCGGAGCUAAUACCGGAUAAUAUAUUGAACCGCAUGGUUCAAUAGUGAAAGACGGUUUUGCUGUCACUUAUAGAUGGAUCCGCGCCGCAUUAGCUAGUUGGUAAGGUAACGGCUUACCAAGGCAACGAUGCGUAGCCGACCUGAGAGGGUGAUCGGCCCCACUGGAACUGAGACACGGUCCAGACUCCUACGGGAGGCAGCAGUAGGGAAUCUUCCGCAAUGGGCGAAAGCUUGACGGAGCAACGCCGCGUGAGUGAUGAAGGUCUUCGGAUCGUAAAACUCUGUUAUUAGGGAAGAACAAAUGUGUAAGUAACUAUGCACGUCUUGACGGUACCUAAUCAGAAAGCCACGGCUAACUACGUG